GAUUGAGAGCUUGCUCUCAAGAAGUUAGCGGCGGACGGGUGAGUAACACGUGGGUAACCUGCCCAUAAGACUGGGAUAACUCCGGGAAACCGGGGCUAAUACCGGAUAACAUUUUGAACCGCAUGGUUCGAAAUUGAAAGGCGGCUUCGGCUGUCACUUAUGGAUGGACCCGCGUCGCAUUAGCUAGUUGGUGAGGUAACGGCUCACCAAGGCAACGAUGCGUAGCCGACCUGAGAGGGUGAUCGGCCACACUGGGACUGAGACACGGCCCAGACUCCUACGGGAGGCAGCAGUAGGGAAUCUUCCGCAAUGGACGAAAGUCUGACGGAGCAACGCCGCGUGAGUGAUGAAGGCUUUCGGGUCGUAAAACUCUGUUGUUAGGGAAGAACAAGUGCUAGUUGAAUAAGCUGGCACCUUGACGGUACCUAACCAGAAAGCCACGGCUAACUACGUGCCAGCAGCCGCGGUAAUACGUAGGUGGCAAGCGUUAUCCGGAAUUAUUGGGCGUAAAGCGCGCGCAGGUGGUUUCUUAAGUCUGAUGUGAAAGCCC
rnacentral:rRNA from 1 species